GGAAAGUUUGAAAUUGACUUUCUGUUCCACAGAAGGGUGAGUGACUGUAAGAUCAAGAUUCAGCACACGUGUGAGAAUGUGACUCCACUACAGAAAUACAGUUCACAAGAGGGAUUGAGGCUCUCACACAGAUUCAGUCCAGUGUUGAGAUUGUGACUGAUGUACUUAGACACAACACAAAGGGCAUGUUGGCUCUGUUACCUAGAACUGGGACAUGUGCUGGAUUCUUAAUUUAAUCUCUGGACCUUCCUGCAGGAGUGACAGUGACAUGUGUCUCUUUCCAGCACCUGAGUGAUUUGACUCUUUUGCUUGGGGCCUGCCCAAAUAUGAGUUUGUGACAUAUCACUAAAGGUAGCACCUAGGUGAUGUGACUCAUUCUCUUUACUUGGUGCUGGCCAUAAGAGACAUUUUGACAUAUCAUGGGCCUUGCAACCUGGUGGUACGAAUCUUCUCUUCUGUCUUUGUUUUUUUUUUAAGGCGGCAUUGUGACAUAUUGCUGCCCUGCAAAAGGGUUGUGUGACGCUCCUGCCUGUGCCCUGUCCACAUAGACCAUUGUAACAUAUUGUUGGGUCUAACACUUUGGUGAUGUAACUCUCCUGCCUGGUCCCUGCCUACAGAGGACAUUGUGACAUAUUUCUCUGCCCAUCACCCGGUUGAUGUGACUCACUUCUCCUGCCUGGUCUCUGCUCACAGAGGAGAUUGUGACAUAUACCUGGGCCCAGGACCUAGCUAAUUUGUCUUUUGUCUUUUUACAGCUUUCUGCCAACAAGAAAGAUAGUGAUAUAUAAUGGGGUUUAAUUCCAAGGUAUUAAUAAUAUUGCUAUUUUCCCUUGGCCCUGCUCUCAGAUGGAAUUGGGACAUAUUGAUAGGCCCCAGAAGCAAGGCGAUGUGAGUCUCCUGCCUGGAGCCUGUCCACAGAGGGCAUUGCUGCGUAUCUCUGAGCUCAUCAACUAUUUGAUAUGACUCUCCUUUUACUUGAGUUUUUUUAAAUAAAAGAGAUUUUGACAUAUCUGUGGGCCCAGCACCUAGGUGAUGGAACUGUCUUCUGCCUGAGUCACUCCCACAGAUGAGACAGUGACUUAUUUCUUGGACCAGCACACUAGUGAUGUAAUUUUCCUGCCUGAUUUCUGCACACAGAUUUCACUGUGACAUAUCUCUGGCCCCAUCACCUAUAUGAUUUGACAGUCUUCUUUGUUCUGGGACCUCUCCACAGUAGGCAUUGUGAUAUAUCACUUGGCCUAGCAGAGAGCAUUGUGACAUACCCGCGAGCCAAGCACACAGAUGAUGUUAUUCUGCUGCCUGUGCCCUGCUUUCAGGAGUGGAUUGCAAUGUAACACUGGCUGAGUACCCAGGUUAAUGACACUGUUGCCUGGUCCCUGUUCUCAGGGAAGACUGUAAUAGACCCCUGACCCAAUAUCCAGGGGACAUUGUGACAUACUUCUUGGCCAUGAACCCAGGUUAUGUGAGCCUUUCUGUGCCCUGCCCAUGUGGACAAUUGUGACAUAUUACCGAGUCCUACACCCAGGCGAUGCUACUCUCCUGUCUGGUCCUUGCCUACAGGGAACAUUGUGACAUAUCUCUUUGCCAUUCAUCCAGGUUCUGCCCACAGGGAAGAUUGUGGUGAAUUACUGAACGCGAUACCUAGAUGAAGGAGAGACUAUAACAUACCUCUUGGCCCAGCACCUAGUUGAUGUAACUCUGCUCUCCUGCCUGGGCCACACCUACAGAAGAAAGAGUGACUUCUCACUGGGCCAGCACACAGGUCAUGUUAUUUUACUGCCUUGAUCCUUGUCCACAAUAAUCAUUGUACAUAGUUUUGGGCUCUUCUACUAGAAGACGUGCGGGAUGGUUAAAUAUCACUGGACCUAGCACCUAGGGAAUGUGACUCUUGUCUUUUGCAUCAGCCCCACUCGUUUUGAGAACUGUAACAUAUCACUGGGCCAAACACCUAGAAGAUGGGAAGUGUCUGCCUAUGCCCUGCAAACAGGGCUUUAGCCCUACCACUCUCAAGAGCCUCGUGACAUAUCUCUGCAUUCAUCAUCUAGGAGAUGUGACUCCUCCCUGCUGCCUGCGCUCUGCCUACAGGGAAGACCAUAACAACAUUUGGCCCAGCAACACGGUGAUGUGUUUUUUCCCAGGGCCUUGCUCACAGGGAGCAUUGUGACAUAUCACUGGAACCAGCAUCCAGGGCUGUGACUCUGUGUCCUGCUGUUAGAACAGGAUUGUAACAUAUCACUGACCAAGCACCCAGGUGAUGUGACUCUUCUGCCUGGUGCCUGCCUUCAGGGAAAAUUGUGACAUAUGCCUGGCCUAGCACCAAAGUGAUGUGGCUCUCCUGCUACCUCUAUGCACAGAUGGGUUGGUGAUGCUCAGACAAAUAUUCAGCACACCUGUGAGUCUGCGACUCCAGUAAUCAUCCACAGUCUGCAGGAGAAAUUGAGGCUCUCACCAACAAAUCAAGUGCACAAUUGAGAUUGCGACUCUUGUACUCAGACCCAACAUACAGAAUGUGUUGACUCUCAAUUUUAAAACCAGAACAUGUGUGAGAUUAUUAAUCUGAUCUCUAAACCAUCCUGCAAGUGUGAUUGUGACACAAGUCUCUGUUCAGUACUUGAGUGAUUUGACUCCUUUGCCUGGGCCCAGUCCAAAGAUGUAAUUGUGACAUAUCACUGAAACCAGCAUAUAGGAGAUGUGUCUCCAUACUCCUGCCUUGGUGCUGCCCACAGUGGGCACUGUGACAUAUCACUGGGCCUUGUAUCCAAGUGAUGUAAGUCUCUUCUUUCUUGAUACUGACCACAGGAGACACUAUGACAUAUCCCUGGGCCUCAAGCUCAGCUUAUGUCAUUCUCCUAUUUGUUCUCUGUCCACAUGGGCCAUUGUGACAUACUGCUGAGUUUGGCAUCCAUGUGAUAUAACACUUCAGCCUCAGCUUUGCUCACUUGGGGCAUUGUGAUGUAUCUCUGCACCCAUCACUUAGAUGAUUCAACUCUUUUCUUCUGUCUCAUCUGUGCUUAAAACGGGCAAUUGUUACCUAUUGCUGGGUCCAGCAUGUAGCUGAUGUGUCUCUUCUCAUCUUCCUAAGGACUGCCUGCAGGGGAUAUGGUGACAUUUUACUUUGCCCAGCACCAAGAUGACUUGAAUCUGCUGCCUUUGUUCUACUUUCAGAAGACAUUGUGACAUAUCGCUGGGCCUAGCACCAAGGUGAUGUGAAUCUUCUGCCUGGACCUGCUCACAGAGGGAAUUGUUACAUAUUUUUGACUUCAUCAACUAUUUGAUGUGACUCUCCUCUCUAACCUGGGCCUUGCCCAUAAAAAACAUUGUGGCUUAUCUCUGGGCCCAAAACCUAGGUGAUGUGACUGUCUUCUUAGGGUCAUGCCCACAGUAGAGAGAUGCCUUAUUGCUAAACCCAGCACACAGGUGAGGUGAUUCUUCUGUCUGGUCCCUGCCCACAGGGGUCAUGAUGACAUCUCUCUAAGCCCAUCACCUAGAUUAUGUGAGUUCUCUUUUUCUUCUGUUAGCUAUAUAGAAGAUUGUGACAUAUUGCUUGGCCCAGACCUCAUGUGAUGUGAAUCUCCUCUCAUGCCUUGGUCCUGUUUUUUUUUGGCCGUUGUUGUUUUGUUUUGUUUUUUGAGAUGGAGUCUUGCUCUGUUGCCUAAGCUGGA
rnacentral:lncRNA from 1 species